GACGAACGCUGGCGGCGUGCUUAACACAUGCCAGUCGAACGGAAAGGCCCUGCUUUUGUGGGGUGCUCGAGUGGCGAACGGGUGAGUAACACGUGAGUAACCUGCCCUUGACUUUGGGAUAACUUCAGGAAACUGGGGCUAAUACCGGAUAGGAGCUCCUGCUGCAUGGUGGGGGUUGGAAAGUUUCGGCGGUUGGGGAUGGACUCACGGCUUAUCAGCUUGUUGGUGGGGUAGUGGCUUACCAAGGCUUUGACGGGUAGCCGGCCUGAGAGGGUGACCGGCCACAUUGGGACUGAGAUAAGGCCCAGACUCCUACGGGAGGCAGCAGUGGGGAAUAUUGCACAAUGGGCGGAAGCCUGAUGCAGCAACGCCGCGUGCGGGAUGACGGCCUUCGGGUUGUAAACCGCUUUCGCCUGUGACGAAGCGUGAGUGACGGUAAUGGGUAAAGAAGCACCGGCUAACUACGUG
rnacentral:rRNA from 1 species